AUUUCUCAGUAAUAUCUUAUUGCCAGCUAAUGCACAAUGUAUUGGAGAGUUGGAAAGGAGGGACAGACAAAGAUACAGGUGGACCUGAUGGAUGGACAGAUGAUUUGCUGGAUGGAUGAAAAGAUUGUUGAGAACGGAAGCCUCCGCUCGCUCCUACAGGACAGCCUGUACUGACACCUGCCUUCCGUCAGAGUAAAUGAGCCCCGGCCAGAAGUCUGCAUCUGCACAACAGGACAUCAAUCUGCUACAAGUGAGCUGACCGGGGAGACCAGUGGAGCCAAAGUGCUGAUAUAUGGAGAAAGUGGAAACAAAAUGGAUCUGCUGACCAACUGUGACACGCUUCCUAUAAACGCCACGCUCUGGUCGCGGUGGGCGUGAGGAGGCUCGCUCAGUCAGCCUGAAGAGAGAAAUUACACUCCGGUGAGAACGAGAGAAAAUCGGAAGGGCUGGGGGUGGGGGAGAAUGUAUUGUAAGCAGUGGAGUGAUUUAUGAGGCUGACUCAAACUCACACAAAGGCAGAAUGUCUUCCCAUCAUACCUUACAUGGAAACAUACAUGAGGCUGCGAUGCAUGAUGCAAUGCCCUCACACUCUGAGAGUCUGUUGAAAACGUGACAGCUGAGUGAAGACCCUGACACAAUAUUGCCUUUUUUGUGCAUGCAUGACAGCCCCAUUAAAAAAAACAAAAAAACGCCAAGACUUAUUUAAAAAUCACCCCGAAAUGCCAUAAAUCCUCAUCUUCCCUGCCUUGUUUUUGCACACGAGUAAAUCAUGUGGUGGAAUGCCAAUUUUUCUUUUUUUCUGGAGGUACUCUGCAACUAUUUUCAAGGGUAUUACAUGACAAGGUAUUUUUCAAAAUAAGGGCCUGCAUUCCUGGAGAAAGAUAGGAGAUUAAAGUGUGUAGGUGGCGAGUGGGGUGGUGGACCAUCAAGAUGACCUGACCGAGAAGGCCUAUUACUCAUGCUGGAUGAGAGGUGGAGCAAGCCCCUGACGGUGUACACAGUUCAGUCUUGCUACAAAAAUGUAAGUUUUUUUUUUUUUUCAGUGAAUAGCCUAUUGUGCAUGGAAACAUGACAGAUUUGAGCUCAAGACCCUUACUCCAGUGAGAGACUGUGGUAUUCAUGCAAAACCUGAUCCGAGUAAAGGGAUGCAGGCCCAAGCUGCCACAUGGUGGAUGUGCACCGAAGUGUUGGGCGACAUCCAAUUUUGAUUCCCUUUAGUCCUUACUCACAUAACACCUCAGUAUACCGGAUUACCAUCGGUCUACAGUUGCUUGUCAUUUUGUCAUAUACAUUUUAAACACCCCUCAUAGAUUUCUAACCUCAUUUUUUUUUUUUUAGAUUGGAGAGGCAAAACAAAGGCCUAUUAAUAUCCCGGUCUUAUCAGAGCUAAGUAAAAGUUUGCAGAUGUUUGCUAAUUUUCCAGCUGUGAACCAUGUCCAAACAUUUACUUGAAAUACACUCCAAGGGAAACGGGAUAUUGCUCAGUUUGGAUCAGAAGACAGAGUUGUCAUCUAUACUUUAACGGGCUCUCUAAAAUAGUCAGCUCUGCUUCUGUUUGCUUUUCCUUGGUGUGACCCACCAUCUCCACAACACCACUAAAAGAAAAUUAGUAUUACAUGAGUUGCACCAGAAAAUGAGGUCGUCAUCUACAUGUUGAUAACAGGCUCAAAAUAACAAAACAGCUGUUUCUAUAUUGGGACCCACUGCCUCCACAUCACUAUUGAGGAAAAGUGGGUAUUAUUCGUUUUCCAGACGAGGUUGCAGACAUCUAUAAACAAAUAACCAGUCAGCUAUGCUUCUGGUAAUUUUUUUCUUGGUGUGACCCACUGCCUCCACAGCACCACUGAGGAAACCUGUCUAUUGUUUGGGUUUACCACAAGAGAGGGCUGUCAUAACACGCUCUCAAAAAUAACUAGUCACCUCUGCUUCUGCUUCUUUUUCUUUGAUGUGACCUCUUGCCAACAAAGCACCAUUUUUUAGUUUUGAAAGCAGAUUGCCAAACAUUUUUUGAAGGUUGAACUUGUACUUCUUUCUCUUCUACAGUCUAAACUUUAAUGGUUGCUGCCUUAAACCAAAGGGUUGUAACUGGUUGUAUUCACACUAGCGCAAACAGUAGAUGUUGCUACUAAUUGCUACUAAAAGUGUAGCUAAGCCAUAGCUAUGGUUCCCACUGUGUAAUUUAUUUCCAAAUGAUGAUGGCACAAAAAGAAGAGGAGUUAAUUUACAGCCUUUUUACUGAAAAACAGCACCUCUGUGUGGGAAAAGCAGACCUGACAAAUAACUUGGUAUAUUGCUGCCAUGUUGUUCUUGAUUAACAGCACAUUACCACCAGCUGCCAGUGUCAAAACCAGAUUUUUAUGUCUUGGCAGGCAUUCUCUGUCGACAGCAUUAGUGGUCAUUUGUGUUAUCUGUUGGAGGUUUCUUCCUGUUUAUAGAAGUUGUUCCUCUCCACUGUCUCCUGGUGCUUGAAAUGGAUAAGGAAAUUGCAUUGAAAUGGACAUUAUAUGCAGUCCCUGUUUUUCAUGUGUCAAAACCUUUAAACAAUAUGUCUAAGUCUCCUUGAAUACUACUGUAAUAGCUGUCUUGGGUUAGGAUAUUAAUUAUUAAAUACUAACUGUUCUGGUCAACAUAAUUCCACCUAUAUAUUUGCCUUUUAGCUUGAUUACACUAGCCUGAAUUAUGUAGUGGUUUAAC